rnacentral:rRNA from 1 species
CCCUUAGAUGUUCUGGGCCGCACGCGCGCUACACUGACGAUGGCAACGAGUUUUUCCUUCGCCGAAAGGUGUGGGUAAUCUUUUGAAACAUCGUCGUGCUGGGGAUAGAUCAUUGCAAUUUUUGAUCUUGAACGAGGAAUUCCUAGUAAGCGCGAGUCAUCAGCUCGCGUUGAUUACGUCCCUGCCCUUUGUACACACCGCCCGUCGCUACUACCGAUUGAAUGGUUUAGUGAGGACUCCUGAAUGGCGCCGCCGCCCCGGCAACGGAGCAGCGGACUGCCGAAAAGUUGUUCAAACUUGAUCAUUUAGAGGAAGUAAAAGUCGUAACA